GUACAUGUGUGCUGCAUAGACAUGAGUGUGCCGAGGUAUAAGCCUGCAUGAGCACAGAUGAAGAGAGCCAGCAGAGGACAUUGGUUUGUAGCAUGCUUGAAGGAAAAGCAGAAAAGAGCUGUCAAAAUGACUGAAUGGCUUGGGCACAUGUCAUCUGAGAAGGCUGCCCAGAGACAUUCCCAGGCCAGCCAACCUGCUUGGAAGAAACAGAGACCAGCUGAGCCUUCUGGAGAUGCUCAGACCAACUGAAUGGAAGGAACAUUCUUCAUCCCCUUGAGCUGCCUAAAGGCUACUCAGUGUGUUCCAGGUUCCCAGAUUUUGUGAGUUGUCACCUAUGUUGGAGUGGGCUUUGCCAAUGCAACUGUUUUUGAGUCAUUUUUGCCCCUGUAAGUAACCCUUCAACCAUAGUCUUACAAGUAACCUCAAUAAAACUCAUUGGUUGACC
rnacentral:lncRNA from 1 species